UACGAAGGGGGCUAGCGUUGCUCGGAAUUACUGGGCGUAAAGCGCACGUAGGCGGCUCUUUAAGUCGGGGGUGAAAUCCUGGAGCUCAACCUCAGAAUUGCCUCCGAUACUGGCAGUCUCGAGUGCGGGAGAGGUGAGUGGAAUUCCCAGUGUAGAGGUGAAAUUCGUAGAUAUUGGGAAGAACACCAGUGGCGAAGGCGGCUCACUGGCCCGUAACUGACGCUGAGGUGCGAAAGCGUGGGGAGCAAACAGG
rnacentral:rRNA from 1 species